rnacentral:rRNA from 1 species
UCCAGACUCCUACGGGAGGCAGCAGUGAGGAAUAUUGGUCAAUGGGCGGGAGCCUGAACCAGCCAAGUCGCGUGAGGGACGACGGUCCUAUGGAUUGUAAACCUCUUUUGUCGGGGAACAAAGGCGCCCACGGGUGGGCGGAUGAGUGUACCCGAAGAAAAAGCAUCGGCUAACUCCGUGCCAGCAGCCGCGGUAAUAUGGAGGAUGCGAGCGUUAUCCGGAUUUAUUGGGUUUAAAGGGUGCGUAGGCGGGAUGCCAAGUCAGCGGUAAAAAUGCGGUGCUCAACGCCGUCGAGCCGUUGAAACUGGCGUUCUUGAGUGGGCGAGAAGUAUGCGGAAUGCGUGGUGUAGCGGUGAAAUGCAUAGAUAUCACGCAGAACUCCGAUUGCGAAGGCAGCAUACCGGCGCCCUACUGGCGCUGAGGCACGAAAGCGUGGGUAUCGAACAGGAUUAGAUACCCCAGUA